rnacentral:rRNA from 1 species
UACGUAGGGUGCAAGCGUUGUCCGGAAUUAUUGGGCGUAAAGAGCUCGUAGGCGGUCUGUCGCGUCUGCUGUGAAAACUCAGGGCUUAACCCUGAGCUUGCAGUGGGUACGGGCAGACUAGAGUGCGGGUAGGGGAGACUGGAAUUCCGUGGUGUAGCGGUGAAAUGCGCAGAUAUCAGGAGGAACACCGGUGGCGAAGGCGGUUCUCUGGGCAUGAAUCUGA